UACGUAGGAUGCGAGCGUUGUCCGGAAUUAUUGGGCGUAAAGAGAACGUAGGCGGUUUGGUAAGUUUGGGGUUAAAGACUGGGGCUCAACCCCAGGAGUGGCUCGAAAACUGACAGACUAGAGGAUGGCAGAGGAAAGUGGAAUUCCCAGUGUAGCGGUGAAAUGCGUAGAUAUUGGGAGGAACACCAGUGGCGAAAGCGACUUUCUGGGCCAUUCCUGACGCUGAGGUUCGAAAGCUCGGGGAGCAAACAGG
rnacentral:rRNA from 1 species